rnacentral:rRNA from 3 species
GUUGACCUCGGAUCAGGUAGGACUACCCGCUGAACUUAAGCAUAUCAAUAAGCGGAGGAAAAG